rnacentral:rRNA from 1 species
GACGAACGCUGGCGGCGUGCCUAAUACAUGCAAGUCGAGCGAGCGGAACUAACAGAUUUACUUCGGUAAUGACGUUAGGAAAGCGAGCGGCGGAUGGGUGAGUAACACGUGGGGAACCUGCCCCAUAGUCUGGGAUACCACUUGGAAACAGGUGCUAAUACCGGAUAAGAAGGCAGAUCGCAUGAUCAGCUUUUAAAAGGCGGCGUAAGCUGUCGCUAUGGGAUGGCCCCGCGGUGCAUUAGCUAGUUGGUAAGGUAAAGGCUUACCAAGGCGAUGAUGCAUAGCCGAGUUGAGAGACUGAUCGGCCACAUUGGGACUGAGACACGGCCCAAACUCCUACGGGAGGCAGCAGUAGGGAAUCUUCCACAAUGGACGCAAGUCUGAUGGAGCAACGCCGCGUGAGUGAAGAAGGUUUUCGGAUCGUAAAGCUCUGUUGUUGGUGAAGAAGGAUAGAGGUAGUAACUGGCCUUUAUUUGACGGUAAUCAACCAGAAAGUCACGGCUAACUACGUG